rnacentral:rRNA from 1 species
UUUCCUACGGGGGGCAGCAGUAGGGAAUUUUCGUCAAUGGGCGCAAGCCUGAACGAGCAAUGCCGCGUGAACGAGGAAGGUCUUCGGAUCGUAAAGUUCUGUUGAAGGGGAAAAAGAGCGGAGAGAGGAAAUGGUCUCCGAUUGAUAUUACCCUUCGAGGAAGUCACGGCUAACUACGUGCCAGCAGCCGCGGUAAUACGUAGGUGGCGAGCGUUAUCCGGAAUGAUUGGGCGUAAAGGUACCGAAGGCGGCCUCUUA